GGAAGGCCUGUAGCCCAAUGGUAGAGCAUUUGUUUUGCGUGCAGAAGGUCCCAGGUUCAUUCCCUGACAUCUCCA